CUCGACAAGUUUAACGACCGUAUGGAGAUAAUGUCCUACAACCUGUGAAAGGACAAAAAAACUAACAUUUAACAACCUAAAUGAAUAAAAGUUAUUAAUCAUUCCAUAAUUUUCUAAAGCAACAAGCGUAUAAAAGGAUUUGUCAUUAGACUCGUUACGAGGCAAAGACAACGUGGAGUUCCGAUCAGGCAAGCCUUAUCCCCACAGGUUGCGAUGCUAUUUUCUCAGCUAAUAGAUUACUCAGCAGCAGUCAGUGGCUUAAAGUAAAUUUUAUUAAAAAUACGCANAGCCUUAUCCCCACAGGUUGCGAUGCUAUUUUCUCAGCUAAUAGAUUACUCAGCAGCAGUCAGUGGCUUAAAGUAAAUUUUAUUAAAAAUACGCAUUUACUGAAAAUUUUAUUGAAACAAAAUAAAAAGACAAAAGAAGAGUACAUGAAUUAAAAGGUGAAAAAAAUUUGCAGAAAAUAAAUGAAAAAUUCCAAGCCCUAAUCGUAAAUUUCUUUCCAAUACUCACGCCGCGUAAAUCAUAAUUUGAAUUUGAUGAUUCUGAGUAGGACUNGAAGUAACAGGUGGCCUCUUCUUCGUGGCAUCCGGUGGCGGUGUUCUUCCAAGAGUUGUGAAUUCAGUUCUUCGCAAUGCAGGUUCAAUAGUGUUUACCUUACGUCGCAAAUGUAAAUAAGUAACGAGAGAAUUAGGAACUGUGCAUUCUUUCUUGCAGUAAGGCUGGCCUCCAACACUUUUAUCUUGUCUGCGUUUUAUGAUUUCCAGGGUUUGGAUGNGCUUNACGAUUCCGCUGAAGAC
rnacentral:lncRNA from 1 species